rnacentral:rRNA from 1 species
CGGACGGGUGAGUAAUGUCUGGGAACUGCCUGAUGGAGGGGGAUAACUACUGGAAACGGUAGCUAAUACCGCAUAACGUCGCAAGACCAAAGAGGGGGACCUUCGGGCCUCUUGCCAUCGGAUGUGCCCAGAUGGGAUUAGCUAGUAGGUGGGGUAAAGGCUCACCUAGGCGACGAUCCCUAGCUGGUCUGAGAGGAUGACCAGCCACACUGGAACUGAGACACGGUCCAG